UUCUUUUUUUUGUAUGCAAGU
rnacentral:piRNA from 1 species